GACGAACGCUGGCGGCGUGCUUAACACAUGCAAGUCGAACGAUGAAGCCGGAGCUUGCUCUGGUGAAUUAGUGGCGAACGGGUGAGUAACACGUGAGUAACCUGCCCUUGACUCUGGGAUAACUGCUAGAAAUGGUAGCUAAUACCGGAUACGACCCUCGGCGGCAUCGCCAGGGGGUGGAAAGAAUUUCGGUCAAGGAUGGACUCGCGGCCUAUCAGCUAGUUGGUGAGGUAACGGCUCACCAAGGCGACGACGGGUAGCCGGCCUGAGAGGGUGACCGGCCACACUGGGACCGAGACACGGCCCAGACUCCUACGGGAGGCAGCAGUGGGGAAUAUCGCACAAUGGGCGCAAGCCUGAUGCAGCAACGCCGCGUGAGGGAUGACGGCCUUCGGGUUGUAAACCUCUUUUAGUAGGGAAGAAGCGAAAGUGACGGUACCUGCAGAAAAAGCACCGGCUAACUACGUGCCAGCCGCCGCAGUAA
rnacentral:rRNA from 1 species